rnacentral:rRNA from 1 species
GUGAGGAAUAUUGGUCAAUGGGCGGGAGCCUGAACCAGCCAAGUCGCGGGAAGAAAGAAGGAUCUAUGGUUCGUAAACUUCUUUUGCAGGGGAAUAAAGUGCAGGACGUGUCCUGUAUUGUAUGUACCCUGAGAAUAAGGAUCGGCUAACUCCGUGCCAGCAGCCGCGGUAAUACGGAGGAUCCGAGCGUUAUCCGGAUUUAUUGGGUUUAAAGGGUGCGUAGGUGGUUUGAUAAGUCAGCGGUGAAAGUUUGCAGCUUAACUGUAAAAAUGCCGUUGAAGCUGUCGGACUUGAGUGUAAAUGAGGUAGGCAGAAUGCGUGGUGUAGCGGUGAAAUGCAUAGAUAUCACGCAGAACUCCGAUUGCGAAGGCAGCUUACUAAGCUACAACUGACACUGAAGCACGAAAGCGUGGGGAUCAAACAGGAUUAGAAACCCUGGUAGUCC